CCUCAUCAUGUCUGUAGCCCCAGCUAGCCGGGAGGCUGAGAGAGGAGGAUCGCUUGAGUCCAGGAGUUCUGGGCUAUAGUGCUCUUUGCCGAUCGGGUGUCUGCACUAACUUCGGCAUCAAUAUGGUGACCUCUUGGGAGGGGGGGGGGGCACCAGAUUGCCUAAGGAGCUGGCCCUGGCCCAGGUCAGAAACAGAGCAGGUCAAAACUCCCAUGCUGAUCAGUUGUGUUGAUUUUUUUAUACUGUGAUUUCUUAGAAAGUAUCAAUCCGUUAUGGAUACAUCCAUGACUAAAAACCAUUUGCUUCUCAU
ensembl:misc_RNA Metazoa_SRP Metazoan signal recognition particle RNA